GGGUUGUGAGGUUAAGCGACUAAGCGUACACGGUGGAUGCCCUGGCAGUCAGAGGCGAUGAAGGACGUGCUAAUCUGCGAAAAGCGCCGGCGAGGUGAUAUGAACCUUUGACCCGGCGAUGUCCGAAUGGGGAAACCCAGUGUGAUUCGUCACACUAUCGUUAACUGAAUACAUAGGUUAACGAGGCGAACCGGGGGAACUGAAACAUCUAAGUACCCCGAGGAAAAGAAAUCAACCGAGAUUCCCCCAGUAGCGGCGAGCGAACGGGGAGCAGCCCAGAGUCUGAAUCAGCUUGUGUGUUAGUGGAAGCGUCUGGAAAGUCGCACGGUACAGGGUGACAGUCCCGUACACGAAAGCACACAGGCUGUGAACUCGAAGAGUAGGGCGGGACACGUGGUAUCCUGUCUGAAUAUGGGGGGACCAUCCUCCAAGGCUAAAUACUCCUGACUGACCGAUAGUGAACCAGUACCGUGAGGGAAAGGCGAAAAGAACCCCGGCGAGGGGAGUGAAAAAGAACCUGAAACCGUGUACGUACAAGCAGUGGGAGCCUCUUUUAUGGGGUGACUGCGUACCUUUUGUAUAAUGGGUCAGCGACUUAUAUUCUGUAGCAAGGUUAACCGUAUAGGGGAGCCGAAGGGAAACCGAGUCUUAACUGGGCGUUAAGUUGCAGGGUAUAGACCCGAAACCCGGUGAUCUAGCCAUGGGCAGGUUGAAGGUUGGGUAACACUAACUGGAGGACCGAACCGACUAAUGUUGAAAAAUUAGCGGAUGACUUGUGGCUGGGGGUGAAAGGCCAAUCAAACCGGGAGAUAGCUGGUUCUCCCCGAAAGCUAUUUAGGUAGCGCCUCGUGAACUCAUCUUCGGGGGUAGAGCACUGUUUCGGCUAGGGGGCCAUCCCGGCUUACCAACCCGAUGCAAACUACGAAUACCGAAGAAUGUUAUCACGGGAGACACACGGCGGGUGCUAACGUCCGUCGUGAAGAGGGAAACAACCCAGACCGCCAGCUAAGGUCCCAAAGUCAUGGUUAAGUGGGAAACGAUGUGGGAAGGCACAGACAGCCAGGAUGUUGGCUUAGAAGCAGCCAUCAUUUAAAGAAAGCGUAAUAGCUCACUGGUCGAGUCGGCCUGCGCGGAAGAUGUAACGGGGCUAAACCAUGCACCGAAGCUGCGGCAGCGACGCUUAUGCGUUGUUGGGUAGGGGAGCGUUCUGUAAGCCGUUGAAGGUGUCCUGUGAGGGGUGCUGGAGGUAUCAGAAGUGCGAAUGCUGACAUAAGUAACGAUAAAGCGGGUGAAAAGCCCGCUCGCCGGAAGACCAAGGGUUCCUGUCCAACGUUAAUCGGGGCAGGGUGAGUCGACCCCUAAGGCGAGGCCGAAAGGCGUAGUCGAUGGGAAACAGGUUAAUAUUCCUGUACUUGGUGUUACUGCGAAGGGGGGACGGAGAAGGCUAUGUUAGCCGGGCGACGGUUGUCCCGGUUUAAGCAUGUAGGCGGAGGUUCCAGGUAAAUCCGGUUCCUUAUUAACGCUGAGGUGUGAUGACGAGGCACUACGGUGCUGAAGUAACAAAUGCCCUGCUUCCAGGAAAAGCCUCUAAGCAUCAGGUAACAUCAAAUCGUACCCCAAACCGACACAGGUGGUCAGGUAGAGAAUACCAAGGCGCUUGAGAGAACUCGGGUGAAGGAACUAGGCAAAAUGGUGCCGUAACUUCGGGAGAAGGCACGCUGAUAUGUAGGUGAAGCCCCUGCGGGUGGAGCUGAAAUCAGUCGAAGAUACCAGCUGGCUGCAACUGUUUAUUAAAAACACAGCACUGUGCAAACACGAAAGUGGACGUAUACGGUGUGACGCCUGCCCGGUGCCGGAAGGUUAAUUGAUGGGGUUAGCGGUAACGCGAAGCUCUUGAUCGAAGCCCCGGUAAACGGCGGCCGUAACUAUAACGGUCCUAAGGUAGCGAAAUUCCUUGUCGGGUAAGUUCCGACCUGCACGAAUGGCGUAAUGAUGGCCAGGCUGUCUCCACCCGAGACUCAGUGAAAUUGAACUCGCUGUGAAGAUGCAGUGUACCCGCGGCAAGACGGAAAGACCCCGUGAACCUUUACUAUAGCUUGACACUGAACACUGGUCCUUGAUGUGUAGGAUAGGUGGGAGGCUUUGAAGCGUGGACGCCAGUCUGCGUGGAGCCAACCUUGAAAUACCACCCUUUAAUGGCUGGUGUUCUAACGUAGACCCGUGAUCCGGGUUGCGGACAGUGUCUGGUGGGUAGUUUGACUGGGGCGGUCUCCUCCCAAAGAGUAACGGAGGAGCACGAAGGUUAGCUAAUCCUGGUCGGACAUCAGGAGGUUAGUGCAAUGGCAUAAGCUAGCUUGACUGCGAGAGUGACGGCUCGAGCAGGUGCGAAAGCAGGUCAUAGUGAUCCGGUGGUUCUGAAUGGAAGGGCCAUCGCUCAACGGAUAAAAGGUACUCCGGGGAUAACAGGCUGAUACCGCCCAAGAGUUCAUAUCGACGGCGGUGUUUGGCACCUCGAUGUCGGCUCAUCACAUCCUGGGGCUGAAGUAGGUCCCAAGGGUAUGGCUGUUCGCCAUUUAAAGUGGUACGCGAGCUGGGUUUAGAACGUCGUGAGACAGUUCGGUCCCUAUCUGCCGUGGGCGCUGGAGAAUUGAGGGGGGCUGCUCCUAGUACGAGAGGACCGGAGUGGACGCAUCACUGGUGUUCGGGUUGUCAUGCCAAUGGCACUGCCCGGUAGCUAAAUGCGGAAGAGAUAAGUGCUGAAAGCAUCUAAGCACGAAACUUGCCCCGAGAUGAGUUCUCCCUGAGACUUUAAGUCUCCUGAAGGAACGUUGAAGACUACGACGUUGAUAGGUCGGGUGUGUAAGCGCAGCGAUGCGUUGAGCUAACCGAUACUAAUGAACCGUGAGGCUUAACCUUACAACGCCGAAG
rnacentral:rRNA from 1 species